rnacentral:rRNA from 1 species
CUGAUGCAGCGACGCCGCGUGAGGGAUGACGGCCUUCGGGUUGUAAACCUCUUUCAGCACAGACGAAGCGCAAGUGACGGUAUGUGCAGAAGAAGGACCGGCCAACUACGUGCCAGCCGCCGCGGUAAUACGUAGGGUCCGAGCGUUGUCCGGAAUUACUGGGCGUAAAGAGCUCGUAGGUGGUUUGUCGCGUUGUUCGUGAAAACUCACAGCUUAACUGUGGGCGUGCGGGCGAUACGGGCAGACUGGAGUACUGCAGGGGAGACUGGAAUUCCUGGUGUAGCGGUGGAAUGCGCAGAUAUCAGGAGGAACACCGGUGGCGAAGGCGGGUCUCUGGGCAGUAACUGACGCUGAGGAGCGAAAGCGUGGGGAGCGAACAGGAUUAGAUACCCUGGUAGUCCACGCCGUAAACGGUGGGUACUAGGUGUGGGUUUCCUUCCUUGGGAUCCGUGCCGUAGCUAACGCAUUAAGUACCCCGCCUGGGGAGUACGGCCGCAAGGCUAAAACUCAAAUGAAUUGACGG